rnacentral:tRNA from 1 species
UCAAAGAGUAGUUUAAGUAGAAUACUAGCUUUGGGAGUUAGCGGCAGGGGUUAAAGUCCCUUCUUUUUGAGC